CAGUAGCCGCGGUAAUACGGAGGGGGCUAGCGUUGUUCGGAAUUACUGGGCGUAAAGCGUGCGCAGGCGGUUUGUUAAGACAGAUGUGAAAUCCCCGGGCUCAACCUGGGAACUGCAUUUGUGACUGGCAAGCUAGAGUGUGGCAGAGGGGGGUGGAAUUCCCGGUGUAGCGGUGAAAUGCGUAGAGAUCUGGAGGAAUACCGGUGGCGAAGGCGGCCCCCUGGACAAAGACUGACGCUCAGGUGCGAAAGCGUGGGGAGCAAACAGGAUUAGAGACCCGCGUAGUCCCUGUCUCUUAUAC
rnacentral:rRNA from 1 species